ACCGCUGGGGGGUAAGAGAAACCCCGGGAACUGGGGCUAAUCCCCGAUAGGCGAAGACCCCUGGAAUGGGUCCUCACCCAAAAGGUGUUACAGUCAUGCUCUGUAAUCUCGCCCGAGGACGGGGCCGCGACCGAUCAGGUAGUUGGUGAGGCAAUGGCUCACCAAGCCUAUAACCGGUACGGGCCGUGGGAGCGGGAGCCCGGAGAUGGGCACUGAGACAAGGGCCCAGGCCCUACGGGGCGCAGCCGUUGCGAAAACUCCGCAAUGCACGAAAGUGUGACGGGGCUACCCCGAGUGCCGUCCGCUGAGGAUGGCUUUUCUCUGCUGUAAGGAGGCGGAGGAAUAAGGAGAGGGCAAGUCUGGUGUCAGCCGCCGCGGUAAUACCAGCUCUCCGAGUGGUGGGGAUGAUUAUUGGGCUUAAAGCGUCCGUAGCCGGCCUUUCAAGUCUCUCGUUAAAUCCAGCGAUUCAAUCGUUGGACUGCGGGAGAUACUGUUUGGCUAGGGGGCGGGAGAAGCCGACGGUAUUCUCAGGGUAGGGGUAAAAUCCUAUAAUCCUGGGAAGACCACCAGUGGCGUAGGCGGUCGGCUAGCACGCGCUCGACGGUGAGGGACGAAAGCUGGGGGAGCGAACCGGAUUAGAUACCCGGGUAGUCCCAGCUGUAAACGAUGCGGGCUAGGUGUUGGAGCGGCUACGAGCCGCUUCAGUGCCGCAGGGAAGCCAUUAAGCCCGCCGCCUGGGGGAGUACGGCCGCAAGGCUGAAACUUAAAGGAAUUGGCGGGGGAGCAC
rnacentral:rRNA from 1 species